rnacentral:lncRNA from 1 species
GUCUACAGUUUAUCUCCUGUCUCUUUCCAAACGAUAAUUUGGAGAUCUCUGUCAUCCAUGUUCCCAACUGGUGUGUUUCCUGUAGAUUUCCGUCACACACGUGAUCUUCUCUCUACUAAUUCUACGUGAAUAGAAGGGAACACAUGGGUGGGGUCUCCAAUUACUAUGUUUCCUCCGCAAGUUGCUCUGCAAAACGUUUCUUCUACGUACCAAGUUGUGCAACGUUGUUCAGCG